GCCCUCGAUCACGUCUCCCUCCCUGACUCCCGAUCUCUCCCCGACCCCUCGCCCCCGAUCCUAUCUCUCUCCCGCCGCCGGCCGCCCCGACGCAUGACACGUCACGAUCCGCCCGCAGAGAGAGCUAGAGAGAGAGAGAGAGAGAGAGAGAGGAGUUGGAGGAGGAUAAGGAGGAGAGCAGCGGCGGUGCUGGGGCCCUUUCUCCUGCAGAGAGAGAGAGAGGGGGAAGGGAGGGAGGAGGAGCAGGAGCGCAGUGGCUGUGUUGGUGGCCCUUCGCCCGCAUAGAGAGGGACGGAGGGAGGGAGGGAGGAGGAGCGCAGCGGCGGUGCUGGCUUAUCCCGUGCCACUGGAUCCAGAUCCUCAGGAAAAGCGGACGCGGCCAUCGUCGUUGUAUCUGGAUCUUGUCCUCUGCCCUCCUCAAUUUCCCCGGCAAGACGGAGGUCGGUAGGGAUGACAUGUAAAGGGACUUCGCUGGCAGGCUCCGCCUUGCACCCUCUACCUACCCAGCAGCCUAGCUUCCCCACCAUUAUGGGCAGAGCCUCCUCCGAUGGACACCGAGUGGGGAUGAGGUGAGGCCAAGGAAGAACACAUCGGGAUGGACGAAGAGACAUGAAGGAUUGUUUGGCUGUUUGUGGCAGCCGUCGCCAGCUGGUUGAUUCUCCUCGCAGCUGGUGUCCAUCGAGGUCGUUGACUCCUUCAUCCGCCUUUGUUGCUCCCGCGGGUCCGAUCGACCUCACAACAUGUAUCAUAUUUCAGUUUAGAUACAUAACUACAUAAGGUACUUCGUGAACAUUGGUCCACCUUUAUUUUUAUGCUAAAUUGUUUUGGAUCACAUAAUGCACACCAUGAGCACUCAGGCGAACUUAUUGUGUGCCAUCUUCACCUAUUUGUUGUUGUUUCCAUACUGACCAUGCAUGCCAGAUUCCCCAUCCACAAAGUUUUAGUUUGAUUGUGCAAUUAAAUGUGUUUGAUCUUGGAUGGCAUUUCUAUAUACUUCAUAAUGUUUAGUAGUCCCUCCGUAAACUAAUAUAAGAGCAUUUAGAACACUAAAAUAGUGAUCUAAAUGCUCUUAUAUUAGUUUACAGAGGAAGUAAGUUUGAAUAAUAUAGAACCCGAUCACAUCUAAUUUGUCUUAGCAUGUUGCUUUACUCAUAAGAUCAUCUCUCCUUCCUAAUAAGCUAAUGGUGAAUAGGGACAAAACUUUUUCUGAAAUAAAUAAAGCAUUAUUCAGGGUAGAGAAUGUAUGGAGGUGCAUCCUUUUGAGUUGGAGACUAUUUACAAUUCACCCACUUGCAGCUAUGCCCUUGACUUAGCAGUGAAAAGGGUUUGAUGCCCACGCCAGCAGAGGUGGUUGCGGCAGUGUGCCUGAGUAUACGCAUCACCAUCUUGGUGGAUGAGAAGCAGGCAUACACAGCGGUAGCGCCGCUCGUGAAUUUUUGUGAAAGGGGACAAGAAAUUUGGUGCUUGGAUGACAUUUCUAUGUCGUUCAUAAUGUUUAGUACGUUCAAAUAAUAUGGAAUCUGUUCACAUCUAAUUUGUCGUAGCAUGUUUAUUUACUCAUAAGAUUAUCUCUCCUUCUGAAAGAGCAAAUGGUGAAUAGGGAGACUCUUAUGUGAAAUUAAUCAUUAUUCAAGGUAGAUAAUGUACAGAGUGUAUGGAGGUGCAUCCUUUUGAGUUGGAGACUAUUUAUAAUUCACCCACUUGAAGCUAUGCCCUUGACCUAGCAGUGAAAAGGGUUUGAUGCCCACGCCAGUAGAGGUGGUUGCGGCGGUGUGCCUGAGUGUACGCAUCACCAUCUUGGUGGAUAAGAAGCAGGCGUACACAACGGUAGCGCAGCUCGUGAAUUUUUGUGAAAGGGGACAAGAAAUUUGGUGCUUGGAUGACAUUUCUAUAUCGUUCAUAAUGUUUAGUAAGUUCGAAUAAUAUGGAAUCUGUUCACAUCUAAUUUGUCGUAGCAUGUUUAUUUACUCAUAAGAUUAUCUCUCCUUCUGAAAGAGAAAAUGGUGAAUAGGGAGACUCUUAUUUGAAAUUAAUCAUUAUUCAAGGUAGAUAAUGUAUAGAGGUGCAUCCUUUGAGUUGGAGAAUCUAUAAUACCUAAAUAGUUCAUCCCCACUAACAUAUUUCUCUUGACAUGCAGCCUAUACACAUCAUCAAGUAGGUCCACAUACACAAUAAUUUUCUCCUCUAAAUAAUCUUCCUAUAAUUAUUUCUACUACUAUGUUGCAUGGCACGUAGCCACGUACUCUGGUGGAAGAUGAAACGAGGAGGCCCACCGUCUCUCACCUGGACCCUCUUCCCUGGGUAUCGCUAAGUUUCGCCCCGAAAAAAGGUGUACUGCUAAGUUUCAAUCAAUAUUGCGCCACACCAUUUUAAUUACUAGGAAUUGGUUCAUCUUCCUUCUAAUAACCGAAGAGUUCCGACGAGUCGCUGGAGACGCAUGGUUUUAUCCUCAUCUCCCCGUCCCCACCACAUGAAAGAUGGGCAGUAGGUACGGGAUGCGCUGCCCAACUUGCUGGCGGACGACCCAGUGCCCUCCUCUAGCUCUAGCAGCUCUGGCAUCAGGCUUCCCCGGUGGCCGAGCUUUUGGGUGCGCAAGCAGGACUGCGAUCAGCCGUCGACGGUCAGGCUGUCGUUCUACUGGUUGUAGCAGCACAUCUCCGCGUCCUACUUCCGCAACAUGAACGACUCGCUAUAGCUGUCGUUGGUCGACAGGGGAGGACGGUCGCCGUGGACUUCUCCAACUAUCCCUGAAUGGAUCGGAUAAGUUGAAUCGUCGAUCGCCCUAUACCCCGUACGUUGCUCCUACCCUCCAGGUCGCCCCCGCUAAUCACGUCCAAAUCUCGGUGCUUCUUUCCCGCUACCCGCACGUGAUACUCUUGAUUGCUGACUUGCUGUUACCACUUACCACCCCGGUUAGGCUUCCUCACACGAAUGCUCAAAGUAUUUUCUAUACUACUUAUGUCAGAUGUGAACUCACAAGUACUUUAAUUUGGUAUAUGUUUCUUAUCCAAUGCCAGUCUAGCAGGGAUCGGGCAGGAAGGAUGCCCAGGCAAACUAUUGUUCAGAGACGGAUCUGCAGGGUUCAGGAGCAGGUGUGUUAUAGGCCAAUCGAUGGUUAUCUCCAGCGACAGGGGCAAUUAAAUUAAACACUGACGCGUCGUAUAUUGCCGCGAGUGGCCAGUGCGUUUCCUGUCAAAGGAACUCCAACAUGAGGCUGUUAAUCUCUCUGUCUGUUUCCCGAUGAUCCAUGAUAUUAAAGAGGUGAUGAGUUCUUUUGCUUCGGUUCAGUUUAAAAGGAACAAGAACAAGAUGGUGCAUGAACUUGCUGCUCUUACCAGAUCGAAGGAGGAUUUGUUCAUGGUCGCUGGAGAGAGACAUACUGGAUCUUCAUGUAACCCCAGUCAAUGAGUAAUGUAUUUACUCUUUUCCUAAAAAAGUAGUUUUAUUUGCUGUGCUUCUUGAUGUGAACUCACAGUUUCAAUGAACAGGAACCAAAAAUUCAGUGAGCAUAAACAGUAUAUUCAAGUGGAGCAUUAGGUUCUUCCCCUCUACAAUUUAUUUUUUUGAAAUAGCUCUACGAUUUUCUUGAUGAUUUGCUAGAUACCCCUGAUUGGUUCAAUCCAUUAUGUCUUGAGAAAACAAACUGGUUUGGCAUGGUUGUUCUUGCUAGGGUAAUUACUGUUGAUGUUUUAUGCCUUUAUGUUUCUCUGAUACUUGCCUUGAUUUUAACCCUUCUGCAUAACUCUGCAGCUGACUGAACUUGAAAUGCCACUUUUAUCCAAAGCACAUCCUCCUUUCUUUCAGUGCAGGAAGCAACAGGGAGAAGCUACAUGCAUAUGUAUGAUUGUAACCAUGUCUCUUAAUGUACGACAAAGCUUUAUGAUCUAAAAAAUCCUAUAGGGGAUACUUUUCAAAAGUUCCAAAUAUUCCCCAGGAUAUUGUGACGUCCCUCCAAUGCUAGCAGAACAUCAACAGUUUCUGAUGAAAUACAGAGGUAAUAUUGCACUCCCACAUUAUCCAAUUUCAGGUUUAAUAUAAUGCUCUCACCUCUCUUGGUUUGAUGGGAAAAUAAGCAGUAGUAGCAGCGGCUACUUACAUACCUCGCUAUAGCCGGCACGUAGGCCAGAUGCCCACGCACUGAGUACGUAGGCCAAUGCCAAUUAGGGGCGAACAUUACUCACUGUCAAGGUACUAGAAUGGUCAUUCAUUUGUUUGUUUCCUUUAUACAUACCUCGCUAUAGCCGGCACGCAGGCCAGAUGCCCACGCACUGAGUACGUAGGCCAAUGCCAAUUAGGGACGAGGAUCAACUACAUUACUCACUGUCAAGGUAUUAGAAUGGUCAUUCAUUUGUUUGUUUCCUUUAUUUGUUCAAAUCUCUUAGCAAUGCAGGUAUGACUGAUUUACAUCAAGAGCUGCACAUAAUACAAAAUAAGUAGGAGUAUCUCAAAAUGGCAAUACGUACAUAACGUUUCAUACAGUCUCUGUUUCGGAAUCCCUACUAUGUGUUUCAUUCAUACUUAUGUGCGUAAAAUGAGAUAGCUUGAGUCGUAUCACUAUAUUUAGUGAAAAAGUAGACCGCAUAAUUCAGAUUUUGUUAUCUUUGUAAUUAUAUAGCAAUUAUAAUGCACAUUGCAAAAAAAAACCCACAAGUUCAUAUAUCAACACCGCAAACAAAAUAAUUUGAUUUGUGUAUUAUCAUGUGCAUAGGACCAAAAUUCGCCGCAGCAAGGCGCGGGGUAACAUUUAGACCCCUCAUGUCUAUAAUACCUAAAUAGUUGAUCCUCACUAAAUCUAAUGCUCUCAACAUGCAACCCUCCACAUUAUCAAAUGUAUCACGUCAUCAUCCAAAUAAAACUAUUUUGUAGCACAUGCAUUCUCCAAUUUAAUUGUUCCAUCUCCAAUGGUCUAGCAUACAUGCAUACUCUUUGUUCAAACACAAUUACUUCAAAAAAUAAUAGCUUUUGAAUUAGAUUAUUUUACUCAUACAAAAUUUAUCCAAAUUUAAUCUUUAAAUCCCGCAGCAACGCGCGGGGAAAUCACCUAGUAUUUACAAUUUACCAGCUUGCAGCUAUGGAAAUGACCUAGCAAUGAAAAGUGCUUGAUGCCCUCGCUAGCGGAGGUGGUUGCGAUGGCGAGCUCGAGUGUACGCAUCACCAUCCUAGUGGGUGAGAAGCAGGCAUACAACCACAGGAGGAUAAUUUACUCAGGACAAGCAUCAGUUAUGUAAAUUGUUCAUCAACAUAGUUUUGCAAGUCAUUGAAUCAUGUUCCGUCACCUCUGCUUACUGUCACUCUUAAGGCAAGAGGACCUUUUCUAAAUGUACUCCAGUAUUGUUGAGCCUCUUCUAUUUUUUACUUUUGGCAUGAACAAGGAUUCAUAUUGAAUACUGUUACAUAAGUACAUGUUUGUAGUUAGCGUGGAGCCAUAGACUCACUUGCCAUCUGCGCUUGCUGUUUCAUAUGGUUUUAUCAAUAGUAAAGCUUUUGGAAUUACAA